rnacentral:rRNA from 1 species
GAUGAACGCUGGCGGCGUGCCUAAUACAUGCAAGUCGAGCGAACAGACGAGGAUCUUGGUCCUCUGACGUUAGCGGCGGACGGGUGAGUAACACGUGGAUAACCUACCUAUAAGACUGGGAUAACUUCGGGAAACCGGAGCUAAUACCGGAUAAUAUAUUGAACCGCAUGGUUCAAUAGUGAAAGACGGUUUUGCUGUCACUUAUAGAUGGAUCCGCGCCGCAUUAGCUAGGUGGUAAGGUAACGGCUUACCAAGGCAACGAUGCGUAGCCGACCUUAGAGGGGGAUCGGCCACACUGGAACUGAGCCGCGGCCCAGACUCCUACGGGCGGCAGCAGUAGGUACGCUUCCGCAAUGGGCGAAAGCCUGCCGGAGCAACGCCGCGUGGGUGCUGAAGGUCUUCGGAUCGUAAAACUCUGUUAUUAGUGAAGAACAAAUGUGUAAGUAACUAUGCACGUCUUGACGGUACCUAAUCAGAAAGCCACGGCUAACUACGUG